UUUCCUUUGCCAAUUUUCUCCUAGCUUCUUCUUUUCUUCGUUUUUGCUCCUCCUUCACUUUUUUGGAAGAUCGAGAAAAUUCAAAGUCCAUUAUUUAUAAGAAUAUGCAACAAUAGCUCAGAAAAGUUAAAUAUUGUAUGCUUAUAUGAAAGUGGUGAUGAAGUGAACAGCAAGAAAGGAAAGCCCAACAAGCUAUUAACUAUUUAUAGCAAA
rnacentral:ribozyme from 12 species